GUGGGGAAUCUUCCACAAUGGACGAAAGUCUGAUGGAGCAACGCCGCGUGAGUGAAGAAGGGUUUCGGCUCGUAAAGCUCUGUUGUCGGGGACGAAUGUGCAGUAUUUGAAUAAAGUACUGCAAUGACGGUACCUGACGAGGAAGCCACGGCUAACUACGUGCCAGCAGCCGCGGUAAUACGUAGGUGGCAAGCGUUGUCCGGAAUUAUUGGGCGUAAAGGGAGCGCAGGCGGGAAGGUAAGUCGGUCUUAAAAGUGCGGGGCUCAACCCCGUGAGGGGAUCGAAACUAUCUUUCUUGAGUGCAGGAGAGGAAAGUGGAAUUCCUAGUGUAGCGGUGAAAUGCGUAGAUAUUAGGAGGAACACCAGUGGCGAAGGCGACUUUCUGGACUGUAACUGACGCUGAGGCUCGAAAGCCAGGGGAGCGAACGGGAUUAGAUACCCUGGUAGUCC
rnacentral:rRNA from 1 species